rnacentral:sRNA from 1 species
AUCUUGUGAGUGGGCAAAAGAAAGAUCUAUGCUUGAAGAACACAAGGGUAAAGAUAGAGACUUUGAAGAUGAACUCUGUUCUUCACCAUCUUUUUGUAGUGCAGUUCCGAUAAACUAAGCCACCGGCUGGUGGACUGCUCAAUUGAAGCUGACAAAUCCCGUGUAGCAUAUAAGAAUAAUGAAUCAUCCCAAAAAUAGCUUUGACUCUGAAGUUACUUCUGAUUUCAUAAGCUAUCCUAUUGCUCGUCACUUGUCUUCUGAGCUCAAGUAUAUGAUUUACAGGCAAGAAGACCAAAUUUGAAAUCAAACGGAUCGGUUCUAGCCUAGUCUUGCCGUUUCUUUGCGAAAACGGCAAGACACCUUGUGUGGCGAUCUUUGUGUCGGCAAACCAGAGCUCUACCAUAAGAUUCUCAAACCUCACAU